rnacentral:rRNA from 1 species
AAUAUGUGACAAUGGGGGCAACCCUGAUCCAGCCAUGCCGCGUGUGUGAAGAAGGUCCUCGGAUUGUAAAGAACUUUAAGUAGGGAGGAAGGGCUUUAGGUUAAUACCCUGAAGUUUUGACGUUAACAACAGAAUAAGCACCGGCUAACUCUGUGCCAGCAGCCGCGGUAAUAAAGAGGGUGCAAGCGUUAAUCGAAAUUACUGGGCGUAAAGGGCCGGUAGGUGGUGCAGUAAGAUGGGUGUGAAAUCCCCGGGCUUAACCUGGGAACUGCUUUCAUAACUGCUGAGCUAGAGUACGGUAGAGGGUAGUGGAAUUUCCUGCGUAGCGGUGAAAUGCGUAGAUAUAGGAAGGAACACCAGUGGCGAAGGCGACUACCUGGACUGAUACUGACACUGAGGUGCGAAAGCGUGGGGAGCAAAC